UACGGGGGGGGCAAGCGUUGUUCGGAUUUACUGGGCGUAAAGGGCGCGUAGGCGGCCACCGCAAGUCGACUGUGAAAUCUCUGGGCUUAACCCAGAACGGUCAGCCGAUACUGCGGGGCUAGAGUGCAGAAGGGGCAACUGGAAUUCUCGGUGUAGCGGUGAAAUGCGUAGAUAUCGAGAGGAACACCUGCGGCGAAGGCGGGUUGCUGGGCUGACACUGACGCUGAGGCGCGAAAGCUAGGGGAGCGAACGGG
rnacentral:rRNA from 1 species